CACGUAGGUGGCAAGCGUUGUCCGGAUUUACUGGGCGUAAAGGGCGUGCAGGCGGUCUGUUAAGUCUAGGGUGAAAGCUCCCGGCUCAACUGGGAGAGGUCCUUGGAUACUGGCAGACUUGAGGAGAGUAGAGGAGAGUGGAAUUCCCGGUGUAGUGGUGAUAUGCGUAGAUAUCGGGAGGAACACCAGUGGCGAAGGCGGUUCUCUGGGCCUUACCUGACGCUGAGGAGCGAAAGCGUGGGGAGCGAACAGG
rnacentral:rRNA from 1 species